rnacentral:rRNA from 1 species
AUCGAUGAAGAACGCAGCGAAAUGCGAUAAGUAAUGUGAAUUGCAGAAUUCAGUGAAUCAUCGAAUCUUUGAACGCACAUUGCGCCCGCUAGUAUUCUGGCGGGCAUGCCUGUCCGAGCGUCAUUUCAACCCUCAAGCCCCUCCGGGGGCCUGGCGUUGGGGAUCGGCCCCGCUCCGGCGGCCGGCCCCGAAAUGUAGUGGCGGUCUCGCCGCUGCCUCCUCUGCGUAGUAGAAACACCUCGCAUUGGGACGCGGCGGGCCCACGCCGUUAACCAGAUGAAUUUUUUCAAGGUUGACCUCGGAUCAGGUAGGAAUACCCGCUGAACUUAAGCAUAUCAAUAAGCGGAGGAAAAGAAACCAACAGGGAUUGCCCCAGUAACGGCGAGUGAAGCGGCAACAGCUCAAAUUUGAAAUCUGGCCUCACGGUCCGAGUUGUAAUUUGCAGAGGAUGCUUUUGGCGCGGUGCCUUCCGAGUUCCCUGGAACGGGACGCCAUAGAGGGUGAGAGCCCCGUCUGGUCGGACACCUAGCCUCUGUAAAGCUCCUUCGACGAGUCGAGUAGUUUGGGAAUGCUGCUCUAAAUGGGAGGUAUAUGUCUUCUAAAGCUAAAUACCGGCCAGAGACCGAUAGCGCACAAGUAGAGUGAUCGAAAGAUGAAAAGCACUUUGAAAAGAGGGUUAAACAGUACGUGAAAUUGUUGAAAGGGAAGCGCUUGUGACCAGACUUGGGCUUGGUGAAUCAUCUGGCGUUCUCGCCAGUGCACUUCGCCGGUCCAGGCCAGCAUCAGUUCGCCGCGGGGGAUAAAGGUUUCGGGAAUGUGGCUCCCCCGGGAGUGUUAUAGCCCGUUGCGCAAUACCCUGGGGCGGACUGAGGUUCGCGCUCCGCAAGGAUGCUGGCGUAAUGGUCAUCAGCGACCCGUCUUGAAACACGG